UGCUGUCCCUAUGGGGCAGACGCUGUCCCUAUGGGGCGCAGCACCCCACACACAGCUAUGCCCCCCAGGUGCGGGAUGUGCGCAUCAUCUCGGAAUCUAUGGGGCAGAUGCUGUCCCUAUGGGGCAGAUCGUCUCUCUAUGGGGCAGAUAGUCUCUCUAUGGGGCACAGCACCCAUCUAUGGGGCGCAGCACCCCACACACAGCUGUGCCCCCCAGGUGCGGGAUGUGCGCAUCAUCUCGGAAUCUAUGGGGCAGAUGACUUUGUUAUGAGGCAGAUGACUUUGCUAUGGGGCAGAUCGUCUCUCUAUGGGGCGCAGCACCCCACACACAGCUGUGCCCCCCAGGUGCGGGACGUGCGCAUCAUCUCGGACCGCAACUCGCGGCGCUCCAAGGGCAUCGCCUACGUGGAGUUCUGCGAGAUGCACGCCGUGCCG
rnacentral:lncRNA from 1 species